rnacentral:lncRNA from 1 species
UGCACAGGGGGAUGCAUUGUUGUGUGAAUGUAUGAGUGUCAUGCUUUCACUUGGUUAAUGUGUGGUUUUAUGAUAACUCUCUGUGAUGGAGAAACAUCAGUUUCUGAGUGUUAGUAGAGCAAACCCCCUCCCUUGCCAAUACAGUCUGUCUUCUUUCAGGUGCUUCUUAACCUACCAGUCCUGCCAGAGUUUGAUAUAUAGAAGGUGUUUGCUCCAUGACAGCAUUGCCCGGCAUCCAGCUCCAGAAGAUCCCGACUGGAUUAAGAGGUUACUGCAAAGCCCCUGCCCUUUCUGUGAUUCUCCUGUCUUCUAAAUAAUCAGUGACGGGAAGAUGGAAGGGCACGAUGAACUCUGCCAUAGAAAACUUCCUCCAGCCUGAAGAGAAGGAUGCACUGGAGGAAGCCGGACCCUCACGAGUGGAGAGAAGUCCUUGGUGAUUGUAAAGAGGGCCCCUGGAGCUCAUUUCUGAAGGGCACUCUCCAUCUCCAGAGACUAAAGGAUGUCCUUUGAAAUGGCUGGACUCAGAGAGUUGGAGUCAUUUUGAGAUGAGCAUUAGCCCCAGCUUUGUAACCAAUGAGGAACACUUACUUAUUUUUAAGUAUCUUGACAGAAGCAAUUUGAACACAAUGUCGCGUCAUUUCUAGAUAACAGAAUGGUCUCUUCUGGAGAGCUUGGAUAAGGACCUUGCUGGGUUGAGUUAGGUUUUAAUCCUUGCUUUGGUCUGGAACUGCCUUCGGGCUCCAGAACUUAAAUUGCUUGGGCCGUGGCAUCUGAUGUACCAACAGAGAUUAAAAGUGUAAAGCAACACAUGGGCUGAUGUUUUGUUCUCAGAAAAUAGCUGCUGGUCUGCAUCCCUCCAUUCUUGUUUUUUAUGCAUAUGGAAAACAUUUUCCUAAAACUCUAUAUUCUUAAGUUGAAGCUAAGACUAAAAUUUAAUGUGUCAAAUGAUCUGGUGACUAUUAUAAUGAAUAAUUGUGACUUAUUUUUCAUUCUCUCCUGGGUCAUCAGGUUUCCUGACCCAACUCCUUAAUCCGUAUAAAGAUGUCAAAUACUGUAGUUCACCCACGCCACAGCCCUGCUUCAGACUUAACUGUGGUAGCCUAGAUGAGCUAUUUGUACACAGAGGAAAAAAAGAUAUUUUCCUCUUUUAGUAAUAAGACUUUUAGUAUUUUUAAUGUUGACAUUUCCAGAUGUUUCAUUUAGUAUCCAGGGGUCUGUCUGGAGACUUCUAGAGAGGGACAGCUCAGAAGUGAGACCCUUGAGCUCUGGUGCUGUAAGCUUGUGCAAUUCAGUUGAACAGAGCCUGGGAAUUUCUUUCCUCUGCACAGUCCCUUGAUAUUUGGAAUCCAGGUUCUGCCCCCAACCCCUACCCACCCAGUGGUCUGUUAAGAUGUCUCAGAUGGGGCUGGGCGUGGUGGCUCAUGCCUGUACUCUCAGCACUUUGGGAAGCCAAGGCAGGCAGAUCACAAGGUCAGGAGUUCAGCCUAACCAACAUGGUGAAACCGUGUCUCUACUAAAAAUACAAAAAUUAGCCAGGCGUGGUGGUGCACACCCGUAAUCCCAGCACUUUGGGAGGCCGAGGCAGACGGGUCACUUGAGGCCAGGAGUUCGAGACCAGCCUGGGCAAUAUGGCGAGACCCCCGUCUCUACUAAAAAUACAAAAGUUAGCCUGGCAGGGUGGCGCAUGCCUGUAAUCUCAGUUACUCAGGAGGCUGAGGCAGGAGCAUCACUUGAACCCAGGAGGCAGAAGCUGCAGUCAGCCGAGAUGGCACCACUGCACUUCAGCCUGGGCAAGACUGGAGACUGCCUCAAAAAAAAAAAGAAAAAAAAUGUUGGUACUUAGAUGAUACCAUGACGGCAACCUCCCCACCCCCACCCCGCAUUGAUAGGUAGUGCAGACCAGCCCUUGCAGGCACUUCUAAACAGUCUGCUCAGAAAUGUUUUCUGUUUCCUAUUCAAAUUGCUGUUUUGUCUCCUAUGUUUAAUCAUGUAUUUGCUAUUCUGCUUAUUUUUCUCAUUUGGUGGUAAUUUCAAGAAGAGCGUUUAUCCACUAUUGAUUUUCAAGAAAGAAACCAAGCAGCAUUGAAAUCAUGAGUAACAGAAUUCAGAACAUUGUAUGGUGGAAGUCAUUUGUGUCUGCAGCUAUUUUUUUCACUUUACAAUAAAUAAGAGUAAAAAUUGAGAUCAUGUCAAAAAAUUAUUGCAGUUUUAAUCAUUAUGGCAUAGUUUCACUCCCCCCCCCCCCCCAUUAGAAUCAGUGGAGAUUUGUUCUUACUGGGGAAUUUUGGACUGCUGCCAUUUAAAACUUAGGUUUUUAUUUAAAGCAGUUGUGCAUUUUUGAGAAAAUGUAUUGGGAGUAACUAGAGAGGAUCUCCCAAAUUUUUUUGUAUGUCUCUCUAGGAGUAAACAUGGCAACAGUUUUUCUAGAACAUGGACUCACUGCAGGGACUGGACCCAAUGGCAUUGUUAAGAUCCUAAAAUCUAGCCACCACCUGCCUCCCCCAAGUUUCCAGACACCCAGUUGGAAGGCCUUUCCCUGCCCUUGUCCCUGUCUCACACCCAUGGAGGUUAAGCUACAGAGCUGGGGAAACAGGAGAUUUUGAGUUAAUGGCAGCCUCACAAAUAGUGCUGCUGAAUUUCUCCGAGGGUCAGCAUACCUCAUGGGAGUGUGUUGCUCAGUGCAACCUUGGAAAAGUGGGAAUGGCACCAGACGUUUUUCAGGUGCCUCUUGCAAUUCAAAUUUAUAUCCUCUAUACCGUCCUAAAAUUUGCCUGAUCUUAUUUGGUAGAUUUCAAGUUGCUUUCAGCUGUGACCGUAAUAACUGUUUCAGGAACUGGAGAAAUAGUGGAAGUGCUAUUGCCGCGCUGCAUGUAAAGCACAGGAGCAAAGAUUCGAUACAAUUAGACCCUUUAAGCUACAACAUGGUUGCAUUUGGGGAGUCUGAUAGCCACAUAGGUAUCACAUUUUCUCUGCCUGGGGUUAAUUUGUUCUUAUUAUUCUAGGUAAGAAAUUGAUAGCUUGCUAUGCUUGGUACUCAUUCUGAAAUCCCUAUGUGUCCACCAGGCAGACUUCAAGCAAUCUCUACCUACUAUUAUAUCUGCCAAAACUACCAAUUAUUUUUCAAUGUCAGAAGUUAUUAGAGCCACUGGCAAAGCUCAUGGUUGAAUAUGACAUUUUUC